UACAGAGGGGGCAAGCGUUAUUCGGAAUUAUUGGGCGUAAAGGGCGCGUAGGCGGCCUGGCAAGUGGAAGGUGAAAUCCCUCGGCUUAACCGAGGAACUGCCCUCCAAACUGCUUGGCUUGAGUCCGGGAGAGGUGAGUGGGAAUUCCCAGUGUAGCGGUGAAAUGACGUAGAUAUUGGGAGGAACACCAGUGGCGAAGGCGGCUCACUGGACCGGAACUGACGC
rnacentral:rRNA from 1 species